UGACUGCAUGCAGGAGCACAUGUCCAUUCAAAGCAUUUUAAAAGUUUCCAUUUCCUUCCUCUCCAUUUAGCUGUUGGCAGGAAGCUGGAAGAUCCUCUUUCUGAGAAGAAUUGUUCCAGAAUAAAAAUCAACAGAAUCUCACAUCCCGAGGGAAAAUCCUGCUGACCAUCUUGAUGGUAUCCACCAAUCGUGCCUGCUGCCGGUGUUGCUUGACAGUUUUCUUCACUCCAUGGUAGAUUUUAAUUCUCAUCACUUUAUUCCCGUCAUAGAAGUUAAAAUAAAUUUCUAGACUUGGUACCUCAAAUUUAGGCCCAAGGCUCUAGACUGUGGACCUCUGCCCCACAGGGCCUUGCUCACUCCCACCACCACAGCAGGCCUUCAAAUGCCAUCAAAUUACUCUCCAUUCAGGACCCUUGAAUUCCUGCUGGCUGAAGAGUGAAGAGAAUAAAAUGUUGGCUGUAAGCCUGUGCACGAGCUGGUGAUAUGGCAAGCACAUGCGGGAAGCGGUGUACAGUGCAGGGGUGGAAAAGCAGGUCAGUCUGCCUGCACGGACUGACAAAGGGGUGGGCGACAAAGGGAAGAGGCUGAUGCCAGGGAGGGAACAGAUGUGGAGUUUAUAAGCCUACACCCCAAUACCUUCUGAGAAAACACAAAGCUGUUUCCAUUGGUUUUUUCCUAUCUACCUUCUCCUGAUGUUUAGCCUUAAUAUUGCCAGAUGCCUUUAAAAAUAAGGGACAGCUUAUCUCCACAUUAUUUCACAGACACCUUUUCCAUUUUAUGCACUGCCUAGGACUUAGCGUAAUGCCUCAUAUGCUAUAGGAACUCAAAGAAUAAUUAUUGAAUACAUUAUUUUUAAUCAUUCUUGAAAGAAACUGCUCAGUAUUGUAUGUAUAUUGCUCACUAGAACCAGGUCAUUGACUCACCUAACCAGUUCAUAGCUUAUUACUAAAUUGUUGAUCCAGAAACAGUCCAGGCAUCCAGGGUAUAGCAGGGAGAGAGUGCGCCUGAGUCUAGUUCUGGAUUGUUCAUCCAGUGUUCUAGCUAUAAAACAGGUAGAAAUCUAUUCUCUGGCUCAAAUCUACAUUUUGUCUUAAAUAAUUGUGUGAAUUUGAUCCUAGAAGCAGCCAGCUGCUAGAUCUUAGAGCAUAUAGUUAUUACACUACCUAGGUUUUCUUGUCUUUAAUAAGAGGGGCCUAUUCAUUUCACUACAUUUUAUUAAGCAGGUCUUGCCUGCAAAGCAUUGUGCUCCACACUUCUACAGAGGAGAAACAUGACAGUACGGUGCCCUCUCUUUUCUUCAGGAGCCGAGACCACCCAAAAUAGGUAGGUCUCUAUCCUCCUCUAAACAUUCACAAGGAAGGGUAUUUAGGAACAUCUCUUAAUAAACAAUGUUAAUAAAAGUAAUUCUUCCUAUUUCUUUUCCUUAAAUCCCUUUUGGGAUUUAACAAGGACACUGAUAAAAUGCCUUACAUUCCCUAGAGUUAGGAAGCUUUGUAUUUCUAAUCUAAAUCCUGUGUGCUAUAGCUUAAAUCCAUUUCCUCUUAUUCUGUUCUCAUGGAAGACAGAGAAAAAUCAUUCAUCCUCCUCUAUAUCCUCUAUAUAAUAGUUCUUCAUGUAUUAAAGGUUUCAGUCCUCAUUUCUCCAGGUUACAUAAUGCCAAUUCCUUUAAUUUUAUUCAUAUAUCUUAUUUUCCCAAGCUUUUAAAUUAAUUCCAUUGCACUCCUCUUGGACUCUAUGGAUAAUGAAAUAGUCAUGCAGUCCCUUUCAGAUUCCAAUUGGGUAAUAAACAUUCAAGGAAGGAAGUAUUUUUAAAUCUUAAAUCAGAAUGUCACAUGACCUGGGGUUUAAAACAUUUUUUGAGAGCAGGAGGAGGCUGGAAAGCACAAAUAAUAUUGUCACAGAAAGCAUGGGAAGAAGUAGGAAAGUACUGUUUGGGUAUUGUUAUUAUUUUAUAAAAGAGAAAAUUAAAGCAUGUAUCACAGCAAAUAAGGAAAAGAUGUAAGAUUAAAGUCACAAUUAAAAUAACCAGCUGCUGAUUCCUGGUUUCCUACCAAAUUGCUGUCAAAUGACUAUGAUAUCUGAUCAUAGUAAUCUAGACUGAAGUUAAAAAAAAAACAACAACACAGUACCACAGUUUAAUUGGGCAGUGGGAAUUCACUCUACACUGUGGUCAUAUCACUGUUCUAGAAAGUCUUCCAGUUUUCUCCUCUUCCCUUUCCAACCAAGUUCUGAAAAAGAAUUCCUCUCCACUGAUAUAUUCUACAGGGAGAAGUAAGUAAAACCUCUGAGAUUGUUAACCUAUUAGACUUCAUCUGAUAUCUAGAAUCAAUUAGCAUGUAUAUGAAAUAUUACUUGCCUGAAUUCCUUAACUGAUGAAUAGAUAAAUAAAAUAUGGCAUAUCGGGCUUCCCUGGUGGCGCAGUGGUUGAGAAUCUGCCUGCUAAUGCAGGGGACACGGGUUCGAGCCCUGGUCUGGGAAGAUCCCACAUGCCACGGAGCAGCUGGGCCCGUGAGCCACAAUUGCUGAGCCUGCGCGUCUGGAGCCUGUGCCCCGCAACGGGAGGGGCCGCGAUGGAGAAAGGCCCGCGCACCGCGAUGAAGAGCGGUCCCCGCACCGCGAUGAAGAGUGGCCCCCGCUUGCCGCAACUGGAGAAAGCCCUCGCACGAACCGAAGACCCAAUACAGACAAAAAUAAAUAAAUUAAUUAAUUAAAAAGAAAAUCCUUAAAAAAAAAAAAAAACUUUAAAAUAUGGCAUAUCCACACAACGGAAUAUUAUUCAGCCGCAAAAAGGAACAAAGUACUGACACAUGCUACAUACCAUAGAUAAACCUUGAAAACAUAACGUUAUGCGAAAGAAGCUAGACACAAAAAGCCACAUAUUGUAUGAGUCCCUUUGUAUGAAAUGUCCAAAAUAGGCACAUCCAUAGAGAGAGAAGACAGAUUAGUUCUUACCACAGGCUUUGAGGAAGAGGGUUGGGGAGUAACUGCUUGAUGUAGACAGCAUUUCCAUCUGAGGUGAUGAAAAAGUACUGGAACUCGAUAGUGGCGAUGGUAUUGCAGGGCUCAUAAA